rnacentral:SRP_RNA from 1 species
CCGUGCAGCUGGGGAGUUAGCGGUGCCCUGUACUCGCAAUCCGCUAUAGCGAGAGUGAUGGCCGGCCUCGGGUUGUUUCUUGUAGGGCUGCCCUUGGUAAGUGGCGUUGAUGUUUGGGUCUCGCGCGACAGAAACCUAUGAACCGUGUCAGGUCGGGAACGAAGCAGCACUAAGUAGGACCUUCUGGGUGCCGUGAGGUUGCCUGGACUGAGUUAACUGCUAAGGUAACGCCUAUGAGCGUUUCACAAAGCUGGUCGCACGG